rnacentral:rRNA from 1 species
AUUGAACGCUGGCGGCAGGCCUAACACAUGCAAGUCGAACGGUAACAGGAAGAAGCUUGCUUCUUUGCUGACGAGUGGCGGACGGGUGAGUAAUGUCUGGGAAACUGCCUGAUGGAGGGGGAUAACUACUGGAAACGGUAGCUAAUACCGCAUAACGUCGCAAGACCAAAGAGUGGGACCUUCGGGCCUCUUGCCAUCGGAUGUGCCCAGAUGGGAUUAGCUAGUAGGUGGGGUAACGGCUCACCUAGGCGACGAUCCGUAGCUGGUCUGAGAGGAUGACCAGCCACACUGGAACUGAGACACGGUCCAGACUCCUACGGGAGGCAGCAGUGGGGAAUAUUGCACAAUGGGCGCAAGCCUGAUGCAGCCAUGCCGCGUGUAUGAAGAAGGCCUUCGGGUUGUAAAGUACUUUCAGCGGGGAGGAAGGGAGUAAAGUUAAUACCUUUACUCAUUGACGUUACCCGCAGAAGAAGCACCGGCUAACUCCGUG